rnacentral:rRNA from 1 species
GUAGGUGGCAAGCGUUGUCCGGAAUUAUUGGGCGUAAAGCGCGCGCAGGCGGUCCUUUAAGUCUGAUGUGAAAGCCCACGGGCUCAACCGUGGAGGGUCAUUGGAAACUGGGGGACUUGAGUACAGAAGAGGAAAGCGGAAUUCCAAGUGUAGCGGUGAAAUGCGUAGAGAUUUGGAGGAACACCAGUGGCGAAGGCGGCUUUCUGGUCUGUAACUGACGCUGAGGCGCGAAAGCGUGGGGAGCAAACAGGAUUAGAUACCCUGGUAGUCCACGCCGUAAACGAUGAGUGCUAAGUGUUAGGGGGUUUCCGCCCCUUAGUGCUGCAGCUAGCGCAUUAAGCACUCCGCCUGGGGAGUACGGCCGCAAAGGCUG